rnacentral:rRNA from 1 species
AGUGAACGCUGGCGGUAGGCCUAACACAUGCAAGUCGAACGGCAGCACAGUAAGAGCUUGCUCUUACGGGUGGCGAGUGGCGGGCGGGUGAGGAAUACAUCGGAAUCUACUUUUUCGUGGGGGAUAACGUAGGGAAACUUACGCUAAUACCGCAUACGACCUACGGGUGAAAGCAGGGGAUCUUCGGACCUUGCGCGAUUGAAUGAGCCGAUGUCGGAUUAGCUAGUUGGCAGGGUAAAGGCCCACCAAGGCGACGAUCCGUAGCUGGUCUGAGAGGAUGAUCAGCCACACUGGAACUGAGACACGGUCCAGACUCCUACGGGAGGCAGCAGUGGGGAAUAUUGGACAAUGGGCGCAAGCCUGAUCCAGCCAUACCGCGUGGGUGAAGAAGGCCUUCGGGUUGUAAAGCCCUUUUGUUGGGAAAGAAAAGCAGCAGGUUAAUACCCCGCUGUUCUGACGGUACCCAAAGAAUAAGCACCGGCUAACUUCGUG